AAAAAUAAUGGAAAAUGAGUUAGAGACAGAAUAAAAUAUGAGAUUAAAGCUUAAUGAGUCUAUUUUCAUAUGAAAGAGAUAGAGGAAGAAAAAGAAUUCUAUAUUGUGUGAUAUUUAAAUUCUUGUGAAAUAGGGUCUGAAUGAAUUUGAGAUCCCCUGUUCUGAUUUUAUAAAUUCACUGUAAAUUGUAAAAAGAUUAUUAAGAGUCAUACCUUACCUGAAUAGAUUUCUUAUUGAGUCUAUUUUUAAGGGAAACAAACGGCA
rnacentral:lncRNA from 1 species